rnacentral:rRNA from 1 species
UCCACGCAGUAAACGUUGUACACUAGGUGUAGCGGGUAUUGACCCCUGCUGUGCCGGAGCUAACGCAUUAAGUGUACCGCCUGGGGAGUACGGUCGCAAGACUAAAACUCAAAGAAAUUGACGGGGGCCCGCACAAGCGGUGGAGCAUGUGGUUUAAUUCGACGCAACGCGAAGAACCUUACCCAGACUUGACAUCCUGUGGAUCUGUAAGAGAUUAUAGAGUGCCUUCGGGA